rnacentral:rRNA from 1 species
UACGUAAGGACCGAGCGUUGUCCGGAUUUAUUGGGCUGAAAGGGUGCGUAGGCGGACUGGUAAGUCAGCUGUGAAAGUUUACGGCUCAACCGUGAAAUUGCAGUUGAUACUGUUGGUCUUGAGUAUAGUUGAGGUGGGCGGAAUUUGUGGUGUAGCGGUGAAAUGCGUAGAUAUCACGAAGAACUCCAAUGGCGAAGGCAGCUCACUGGGGUAUAACUGACGCUGAUGCACGAAGGUGUGGGUAUCAAACAGG